rnacentral:rRNA from 1 species
UACAGAGGUCUCAAGCGUUGUCCGGAUUCAUUGGGCGUAAAGAGCGUGUAGGCGGCCUGGUAGGUCAGCUGUGAAAACUCGAGGCUCAACCUCGAGACGUCGGUUGAAACCACCUGGCUAGAGUCCGGAAGAGGAGAGUGGAAUUCCCGGUGUAGCGGUGAAAUGCGCAGAUAUCGGGAAGAACACCCGUGGCGAAGGCGGCUCUCUGGGACGGUACUGACGCUGAGACGCGAAAGCGUGGGGAGCGAACAGG